rnacentral:rRNA from 1 species
GUCUACGGCCAUACCACCCUGAACGUGCCCGAUCUCGUCUGAUCUCGGAAGCUAAGCAGGGUCGGGCCUGGUUAGUACUUAGAUGGAAGUAUCAAAGUCUGGAUUCUGAUC